ensembl:lncRNA
AGCAUCCUGAGAUUUGAUCUCCACAGAUCGCAGAACACUGCUACCAACAUGGCCAAAGCUGAGGGUAGCCUCGCCCUAACCAAGGACACUGUUUGAGUGGAAAUGACAGUGCCCUGUGCGGCACACAGACCCUGUCUCUUCUGAGUAUUUCUGUGAUGAGCGCCUGGCGGCAAGUCCAAAUGACAAUUCAGUAACAGAUUCAGAAAACUGCAAGCAAAACAAAACAGACGGAACAACUAUAGAAAAAAGCCAACUUGUUCAGCGCUCAGCAUCUGCUUGCGGAACCCAACCGGUGGACACAUGACCAUCGGCUGCUCACGUUGUGAGUCGCACUCAGCUUCCCUUGCUCCAUGCCCUGGAAAAGCACGCAGGAGCAACCUGAGCCUGGACUCCCCUCUGGCCCCUGAAGAGCCCAGCUGUCCUUCUCUGGGAAACCUCCCAGGGCUUGCAGAAACAGGAGCCAGGCCUGCUGGGAGGUCAGAGUGGAGAGGGGGACCAGGGCCCUGUGUCACAGAGUCGGCAGCUGCUGUCACCUGCACCACAGCCCUGGUGUGCAACAUGUCUCGGCUCUACUCUCUGAGUCCUGCAGGUCAGUGUGAGAACUAGUACUCCAGGGCUCCUUCCUCCCAAAGUACUAGGGAAGAGCCCGGCGCUUCGGUUUUCCAGCUCCUGGAGGCCUCCGAGUCCCUUGGCUGGCGACCCCGUCCUCCUGCACGGCAUCUCUGGGUCUCUGACUUCCCUCCUUUGACCUCACUCAGGCACUGUGACCCACUGGGCCCCCUGAGGCGAUCACGGAUCGCUGCCAUCUCAGACCCUUAAUUUGGUGGUUGUAGAGUCUUUUGGCCAUGGACAGUGACCUGUUUGGAGAACUGGGGACUUGGAUGUGAAUGUCUCAGAGGCCAUAUUCCGUACCAUUAGAGUUCAAAGCAUAGCCACCGAGGCAGGCGACUGUGCCGUUUGCUCCCUCUGGGGCAUUGGGCAUAUUGCUUCUCCAGCUGAGUUCCCCCACAUGUGAGGAAGGGAGAGUAAAAGUUGUCAGAGGGUCAGAGAGGUGGCAUCUGUGCUGUCUGCAGGGCGGGGCAGGCACAUGGGAGAUGCUGGGUGGAAGCUUGUGUUUGUGCAGCCAUUGGGGUUAGAACCAUGGGAAGAGGGAGUGGAAGGAGGGAAGGAGAAGGGGGAAUAGAAGGAGAGGAAUCAGGGUAAGAGGAGGUGAAGAAGAAAAAGGUGAAUGAAGAGGAGGAGGAGGAAUAAAAGGAAGAGGAGGAAGGAUUGUCCACAGAAACAGGAAGCCACUUCCAAUGGGUAAAGUUCUGGGGACCUCCGAGGGGCCGGGCUUUACUGGCCAUGGCCCAAGACAGGGUCACCCUUUCAGCAGCAGGACCAGGUGUUGAGGAGUCACCAGGCCACUUCCCUAACAUCCAGCCAGGCUGCUUUGCCUGGCUCCCGAGUGGUAAACUGGCAGCCCAGAGGAGAAGCCCAGUCCAUGCCCAGGGCCUGCAGGAGGGUCAUCUCCUAGGACCUUGGGUGGCUCCUGGUCCAACUGCCACUGUGGGGGGACACAGAGGCCACAGAUGCCUGGGCUGUGGGUGGUGGUGGUGAUGUGUCCAGAGUCUCCCUGCCACCCACCCAUGUGGCAUCUUCAUUUGGCUCCAUGGUGCUGAGCAGGG